UCAAAGGAAGUUGACGGGGCCCGCACAAGCGGUGGAGUAUGUGGUUAAUUCGAUGCAACGCGAAGAACCUUACCUGGUCUUGACAUCCCGGAGACCCUUAGGAAACUAGGGGGUGCUUCCAUCUGGAAGAAUCUGGAGACAGGUGCUGCAUGGCUGUCGUCAGCUCGUGUCGUGAGAUGUUGGGUUAAGUCCCGCAACGAGCGCAACCCUUGCCUUUAGUUGCCAGCAGUUCGGCUGGGCACUCUAAAGGGACUGCCGGUGUUAAACCGGAGGAAGGUGGGGAUGACGUCAAGUCCUCAUGGCCUUUAUGGCCAGGGCUACACACGUACUACAAUGGCCGAUACAAAGGGCAGCGACACUGCGAGGUGAAGCCAAUCCCGUAAAAUCGGUCUCAGUCCGGAUUGGAGUCUGCAACUCGACUCCAUGAAGUUGGAAUCGCUAGUAAUCGUGGAUCAGCAUGCCACGGUGAAUACGUUCCCGGGCCUU
rnacentral:rRNA from 1 species